ACGGAGCUCUUAAAGAAACAGUGCACUAGAUUCAGCGCACGCAUAGCGUGUGAGGCUCGCUCAGGUGUAAACACACACGUACAGACAAAACAGCACUCGAUCGCAGCCCUAAACAGUUCUCGGAAUGUUGGAUUGUGUUUUGUGAAGGAUUCCGAAUUGGCAGAGAUUUGAUUUAACCCUUAAGACCAAGUGUAUGGACGAAUAUUGUAGAUCAAUCUGCACU
rnacentral:lncRNA from 12 species